UACGGAGGAUCCGAGCGUUAUCCUGAUUUAUUGGGUUUAAAGGGUGCGCAGGCGGGAGAUUAAGUCGGCGGUGAAAUUUUGCAGCUCAACUGUAAAAGUGCCUUCGAAACUGGUUUCCUUGAGUGUGGAUGAAGUAGGCGGAAUUUGUGGUGUAGCGGUGAAAUGCAUAGAUAUCACGAGGAACUCCGAUUGCGCAGGCAGCUUACUAAACCAUAACUGACGCUCAGGCACGAAGGCGUGGGGAUCAAACAGGAUUAGAUACCCCU
rnacentral:rRNA from 1 species